CCUACGGGAGGCAGCAGUGAGGAAUAUUGGUCAAUGGACGCGAGUCUGAACCAGCCAAGUAGCGUGCAGGAUGACGGCCCUAUGGGUUGUAAACUGCUUUUAUACGGGGAUAAACUGAGUCACGUGUGUCUUGUUGAAAGUACCGUAUGAAUAAGGAUCGGCUAACUCCGUGCCAGCAGCCGCGGUAAUACGGAGGAUCCGAGCGUUAUCCGGAUUUAUUGGGUUUAAAGGGAGCGUAGGUGGGUUUUUAAGUUAGUUGUGAAAGUUUGCGGCUCAAGCGUCGAAUUGCACUCUAUACUGGCUGGCCUGAGGACUAUUGAGGUAGGCGGAAUUCGUGGU
rnacentral:rRNA from 1 species